rnacentral:ncRNA from 1 species
AAGUAGAGUGAUCGAAAGAUGAAAAGCACUUUGAAAAGAGAGUUAAACAGCACGUGAAAUUGUUGAAAGGGAAGCGCUUGCGACCAGACUCGCCCGCGGGGUUCGAGCCGGCAUUCGUGCCGGUGUACUUCCCCGUGGGCGGGCCAGCGUCGGUUUGGGCGGCCGGUCAAAGGCCCCUGGAAUGUAGUACCCUCCGGGGUACCUUAUAGCCAGGGGUGCAAUGCGGCCAGCCUGGACCGAGGAACGCGCUUCGGCACGGACGCUGGCAUAAUGGUCGUAAACGACCCGUCUUGAAACACGGACCAAGGAGUCUAACAUCUACGCGAGUGUUCGGGUGUCAAACCCGUGCGCGCAGUGAAAGCGAACGGAGGUGGGAGCCCCCUCGCGGGGCGCACCAUCGACCGAUCCUGAUGUCUUCGGAUGGAUUU